AUGCUUGUAGAUCAUGAAAAGAAUGCUUUAUGUGAUGGUUAUAUUGUUGAAUUAAUUCAUGGUGCUACUGAAAAUUAUUAUGAGGGAGGAACAUAUGCUUGUAGGAAUUGCAAUAAUAUCAAGUUUCCUCUCUAUGUACUUAAAGUUUUAAAGUUAUGCUUGUUUUGCCUUCCUAUGCUAGUUGAUUAUUGUUCCCAUAAGUUGUUUGCUCACAAAAUCCCUAUGCAUAGGAAGUGGGUUAGACUUAAAUGUGCUAGUCAUAUUCUUCAUGAUGCUCUUUUUAUGUUUCAAUUCUUAUCUUUUAUAUGA
rnacentral:rRNA from 1 species